GCACUGCCGAGGAGUCCCACAUAGGACGAAACGGCCGUCUAGUGC
rnacentral:hammerhead_ribozyme from 1 species